rnacentral:sRNA from 1 species
GCUAGGCAUGGUGGUGCAUGCCUGUAAUCUCAGGAGCUUGAGAGGCUGAGGCAGGAGGAUCAUAAGUUCAAAGCCAGCCUCAGCAACUUAGCAAGGCACUUAGCAACUCAGCGAGACCCUGUCUCUA